rnacentral:lncRNA from 1 species
GGGUGCCUUAAGAUUCCACUGGCAGUAGAGAAUCACUAAAUGUCCAUUUCUGAAUGAAUUCUACUCCCCAGAGACAUUAACACACGAUGUACUUGGCUUGAAUCCUGUUUGAUUUAAGAAAAUCGGCCAAGAGUCCUUCAUAAGUUACUCACAUCUGAGGCACCAUCGGGCUGACCGUGGGACACUCCAGAUGGGGAGUGCUGUGUACCCUCUGCCUCUCCUGUGACCCGAACACCUCCUCUCUCUCUCCAUGGACGACGUUUUCAUCUUAUGGUCUGGGAAUGCUACCUGACCACCCUGGAGGGUCACCCAAGGAAAGAGUUCGUUCCAAAGACAGGUGCUCCUCUGAGUUCCUCUGGAAUCUGGCAAGGUGCCGAGCUUGGACGCAAGGCUUCCAUGAGGCUGUGAAGGAGGUUGCACGGAAACUGGUGGGGAUCUGAAAAGCUUUUAGUGGCCUCGCCACACACAGCACUUCAGAUGCUCAGGUGAUGAGCAACAUUUUCCAAACCCAGCUAGUGAGCACCCCACCUCCUCUGGCUUCCAGAACCUGGUGUGGAGGGCCAGGAGAGGCUUCGGGACUGAAGGGCAGAGCAGCAGACUCCGGGGCUCAUGUAGGAAGGAACAUGCCUUCAGCCAAAGAUUAUCCACGCUGCAUGGAGACUCUUGCUAAA